rnacentral:misc_RNA from 1 species
ACAAACUUGGUCAUUUAGAGGAAGUAAAAGUCGUAACAAGGUUUCCGUAGGUGAACCUUCGGAAGGAUCAUUACCGAGUUAGGGUCCUCCUGGGCCCGACCUCCCAACCCUUUGUGUACUGAACCGACGUUGCUUCGGCGGGCCCGUCGCAGGACCGCCGGGGGGCGGUAGUACGCCCUCUGGCCCGCGCCCGCCGACGGCCUCCAUGUACAACUCUAGAAUUGAAUCGUGUCAACUGAGUACCAUUUCUUAAUGAAAACAAGUAAAACUUUCAACAACGGAUCUCUUGGUUCUGGCAUCGAUGAAGAACGCAGC